rnacentral:rRNA from 2 species
UUAGCGUUUAACUAGGACAUAUAUUUUUAAUUCGGAUAUAUUAAAGUACAAAAGGUCUAGAAGUUAGCGUUUAACUAGGACAUAUAUUUUUAAUUCGGAUAUAUUAAAGUACAAAAGGUCUAGAAGUUAGCGUUUAACUAGGACAUAUAUUUUUAAUUCGGAUAUAUUAAAGUACAAAAGGUCUAGAAGUUAGCGUUUAACUAGGACAUAUAUUUUUAAUUCGGAUAUAUUAAAGUACAAAAGGUCUAGAAGUUAGCAUGGAAUAAUAGAAAACGAUUUCGGUUCAGUUUUAUUGGUUUUACGGACUGAGAUAAUGGUUAACAGAGACAAACGGGGGCAUUUGUAUGGCCCCGUGAGAGGUGAAAUUCUUGGACCGUGGCCAGACAAACUACAGCGAAAGCAUUUGCCAAGAAUGUCUUCAUUAAUCAAGAACGAAAGUCAGAGGUUCGAAGGCGAUCAGAUACCGCCCUAGUUCUGACCGUAAACGAUGCCAACUAGCGAUCCGCCGAUGGAAAUUAUAUUGCCUUGGUGGGGAGCUUCCCGGAAACGAAAGUCUUCCGGUUCCGGGGGAAGUAUGGUUGCAAAGCUGAAACUUAAAGGAAUUGACGGAAGGGCACCACCAGGAGUGGAGCCUGCGGCUUAAUUUGACUCAACACGGGGAAACUCACCCGGCCCGGACACUGUGAGGAUUGACAGAUUGAUAGUUUUUUCAUGAUUCAGUGGAUGGUGGUGCAUGGCCGUUCUUAGUUCGUGGAGUGAUUUGUCUGGUUUAUUCCGAUAACGAGCGAGACUCUAACCUACUAAAUAGCUGGUACAUACUCUUAGUGUAUACAGCUUCUUAGAGGGAUUUGCGGUGUUCAGCCGAAAGAAAUUGAGCAAUAACAGGUCUGUGAUGCCCUUAGAUGUCCGGGGCUGCACGCGCGCUACACUGGCAAAAUCAACGUGCUUGUCCUACCCCGAAGGGGGCGGGUAAACCAUUGAAAAUUUGCCGUGAUUGGGAUCGGAAAUUGCAAUUAUUUUCCGUGAACGAGGAAUUCCAAGUAAGUGCGAGUCAUCAGCUCGCGUUGAUUACGUCCCUGCCCUUUGUACACACCGCCCGUCGCUGCCCGGGACUGAGCCAUUUCGAGAAAUUUGGGGACCGUUGAUUUAAUUUUUCUAAAUUACUUUGAUGGAAACCAAUUUAAUCGCAGUGGCUUGAACCGGGCAAAAGUCGUAACAAGGUAGCUGUAGGUGAACCUGCUGCUG